UCUGUUGAAGCAGACAGCAUUACCUUGACUGCAUAGAUGAAUUGUCAUUUUUUUCGAGUUUACUUAAUUUUAUCUGCUGCAUCGUGUUUGCCUAUAAAACAUUCGAAUUUCCACUUCAAAAGCAAAUGUUUCUUGAUUUUAAUCUCUAGUCCAUCUUAGACAUCAAAAAUAUGAACGUGCUGUACUUGUUUUUAGUUCUCUCUUCAGCAUUUUCCGUGGCCCUACCAAUGGCAACUUUUGUUCGAGGUUGCCACGGUGCCUGCAAUAGACCUCCCAUUAUAAGAUUUGGGCGCUAAAUAAGCAACUGUUGAAUUUAGUAUUGGCUAAAAGAAAUAUUGGACUUACUACGCUUUUUGUGAAUCGAAAAAUUUAUUAAAAUAAAUAUCGCUCAUUCUGUAAA